rnacentral:lncRNA from 14 species
GCGGCGAGGAGUGUUGAAGAAAGGAGAUGCAGAGCAGCCGAGCUCCAGAGUUUCAGGUUUCGUGUGUCUGGAUCCUCGAAGGGGCAGUGAGCCCAUGAUGACUCUGUGAAAAGGAAGCGGAAACAAGAAGAGAAUGGAAGAGAG